AACGCGAAGAACCUUACCCAGGCUUGACAUCUCUGGAAUUUCUCCGAAAGGAGAGAGUGCCCUUACGGGAACUAGAUGACAGGUGAUGCAUGGCCGUCGUCAGCUCGUGUCGUGAGAUGUAGGGUUAAGUCCCUCAACGAGCGCAACCCCUAUAGUUAGUUGAAUUUUCUAGCUAGACUGCCCUGGUAACAGGGAGGAAGGAGGGGAUGAUGUCAGGUCAGUAUUUCCCUUACGCCUGGGGCUACAAACACGCUACAAUGGCCGGUACAAAGGGCAGCCAAGUCGCGAGACGGAGCAAAUCCCGCUAAAACCGGUCCCAAUUCGGAUUGCAGGCUGAAACCCGCCUGCAUGAAGCCGGAAUCGCUAGUAAUGGUAGGUCAGCACACUACCGUGAAUACGUUCCCGGGCCUUGUACACACCGCGUGUCU
rnacentral:rRNA from 1 species